CCUACGGGAGGCUGCAGUGGGGAAUAUUGGACAGUGGGGGCAACCCUGAUCCAGCCAUGCCGCGUGUGUGAAGAAGGCCCUCGGGUUGUAAAGCACUUUCAGUGAGGAAGAACGCCUGGUGGUUAAUACCCAUCAGGAAAGACAUCACUCACAGAAGAAGCACCGGCUAACUCCGUGCCAGCAGCCGCGGUAAUACGGAGGGUGCGAGCGUUAAUCGGAAUUACUGGGCGUAAAGCGCGCGUAGGUGGCUUGAUAAGCCGGUUGUGAAAGCCCCGGGCUCAACCUGGGAACGGCAUCCGGAACUGUCAAGCUAGAGUGCAGGAGAGGAAGGUAGAAUUCCCGGUGUAGCGGUGAAAUGCGUAGAGAUCGGGAGGAAUACCAGUGGCGAAGGCGGCCUUCUGGACUGACACUGACACUGAGGUGCGAAAGCGUGGGUAGCAAACAGGAUUAGAUACCCCAGUAGUC
rnacentral:rRNA from 1 species